rnacentral:rRNA from 1 species
GGUCAAGCUACGAAGGGCGCGCGGUGGAUGCCUUGGCGUCAGGAGGCGAUGAAGGACGUGGACAGCUGCGAAAAGCCUCGGGGAGCUGCUAACAAGCGUUGAUCCGGGGAUCUCCGAAUCGGGAAACCCGGGCAGGGAUGACCUGUCAGGCUCGAGCUGAAUACAUAGGCUCGAGUCGGCCAACCCGGGGAACUGAAACAUCUCAGUACCCGGCGGAAAAGAAAUCAAUCGAGAUUCCCCUAGUAGUGGCGAGCGAACGGGGAGAAGCCUAAUCCGCAUCAGUGUAAGGCUGGGGCCGUUGCUGAUGCGGUGUCGUGGGACGUCUCUAGCGGUCCCCAGAACCGCAAUGGAGUUACCAAAUCGGACGAUAGCAGAACGGUCUGGAAUGGCCGGCCAGAGAGGGUGACAGCCCCGUACGCGAAAUCGGCCCGAUCUCCAGGGAAUGUUCCCGAGUACCGCAGGGCACGUGAAACCCGGCGGGAAUCCGGGAGGACCAUCUUCCAAGGCUAAAUACUACCUGACGACCGAUAGUGCACAAGUACCGUGAGGGAAAGGUGAAAAGCACCCCGGUGAGGGGAGUGAAAUAGUACCUGAAACCGCGCGUCUACAAGCAGUCGAAGCACUAUGCCCUUCGGGGAAUGUGCGACGGCGUACCUUUUGCAUAAUGGGCCUGCGAGUUAUGGUAUGUCGCAAGGUUAAGCCGAUAGGUGGAGCCGUAGGGAAACCGAGUUCUCACAGAGCGACAAAGUGGCAUGCCAUAGACCCGAAACCUAGCGAUCUAUCCUUGGCCAGGUUGAAGCGCGGGUAAUACCGCGUGGAGGACCGAACCCACUCAAGUUGAAAAUUGAGGGGAUGAGCUGAGGAUGGGAGUGAAAGGCUAAUCAAGCUGGGAGAUAGCUGGUUCUCCGCGAAAUAUAUUUAGGUAUAGCCUCGAGCGAACUGCGCCGGAGGUAGAGCACUGGAUGGGCUAGGGGUCCUACCAGAUUACCAAACCCAACCAAACUCCGAAUGCCGGCGACAGAUACUCGGGAGUCAGGCUGCGGGUGAUAAGGUCCGUAGCCGAGAGGGAAAGAGCCCAGAUCGACAGCUAAGGCCCCCAAAUCCACACUAAGUGUCAAAGGAUGUGGGAGCGCUCAGACAGCCAGGAGGUUGGCUUAGAAGCAGCCAUCCUUUAAAGAAAGCGUAAUAGCUCACUGGUCGAGCGAGCCCGCGCCGAAAAUAUAACGGGGCUCAAGUGUGGUGCCGAAGCUUCGGGUUCUCGCAAGAGAGCGGUAGCGGAGUAUUCCCAAGUAGAUACACGGCGUACCGUAAGGAGCGCUAACGGACUUGGGAAGAGCUUAUGCAGGCAUGAGUAGCGAUAAACCGGAUGAGAAAUCCGGUCGCCGUAAGCCCAAGGUUUCCUGGGGAAGGAUAAUCCUCCCAUGGGUUAGUCGGUCCCUAAGCCGAGGCCGAAAGGCGUAGGUGAUGGGAAGCAGGUUAAUAUUCCUGCACCAUCAGGGAUGGCGUUGAAGCGAGCAGGGACGAAGAAGGGUAUGCCGAGCCGGGCGUUUGGUCGCCCCGGUUCAAGCCAGUAGGCGGAUUCCGUAGGACCCGAUAGGGACAAACGCGGAGUCAACGCCGAGAGGUGAUGAGGCCGGCCUUCGGGCCGGAAACUCGGUGAUCCCAUGCUUCCGAGAAAAGCUGCGCGCAGAGCCACUCUGGUGACCGUACCGCAAACCGACUCAGGUGGGCGGGGUGAAUAUCCCAAGGCGCGUGAGAGAACACUGGCUAAGGAACUCGGCAAAAUAGCACCGUAACUUCGGGAGAAGGUGUGCCCAUUGGGGUGAGGGACCUGCGUCCUGAGCUCCGGUGGGUCGCAGUGAAACGGGGGUUGCGACUGUUUACUAAAAACACAGGACUCUGCGAACUCGUAAGAGGACGUAUAGGGUCUGACGCCUGCCCGGUGCUGGAAGGUUAAGGGGAGGUGUUAGCCUUCGGGCGAAGCACCGAACCGAAGCCCCAGUAAACGGCGGCCGUAACUAUAACGGUCCUAAGGUAGCGAAAUUCCUUGUCGGGUAAGUUCCGACCUGCACGAAUGGCGUAACGACAUCCCCACUGUCUCGGCCAGGGACUCAGCGAAAUUGUAAUCGCGGUGAAGAUACCGUGUUCCCGCGGCAAGACGGAAAGACCCCAUGAACCUUUACUGCAACUUGGCAGUGAAGCUCGGAGCAGUCUGCGUAGGAUAGGUGGGAGGCUUUGAAGCGGGGCUUGCGGGCCUCGUGGAGCCGACCUUGAAAUACCACCCUGGCUGUUCUGGGCUUCUAACCUAGGCCCGUGAUCCGGGUCGGGGACACUGCCUGGUGGGCAGUUUGACUGGGGCGGUCGCCUCCCAAAAAGUAACGGAGGCGCGCGAAGGUGCCCUCAGGCUGAUUGGAAACCAGCCGUAGAGUGCAAAGGCAUAAGGGCGCUUGACUGCGAGACCGACAGGUCGAGCAGGUGCGAAAGCAGGCCUUAGUGAUCCGGUGGUUCCGUAUGGAAGGGCCAUCGCUCAUCGGACAAAAGGUACUCUGGGGAUAACAGGCUGAUCGCGCCUGAGAGUUCACAUCGACGGCGCGGUUUGGCACCUCGAUGUCGGCUCAUCGCAUCCUGGGGCUGGAGCAGGUCCCAAGGGUUUGGCUGUUCGCCAAUUAAAGCGGUACGCGAGCUGGGUUUAGAACGUCGUGAGACAGUUCGGUCCCUAUCUGCCGUGGGCGCAGGAUGCUUGAGAGGAGCUGUUCAUAGUACGAGAGGACCUGAACGGACGCACCUCUAGUGAUCCAGUUGUUCCGCCAGGGGCAUCGCUGGGUAGCUAUGUGCGGAACGGAUAACCGCUGAAAGCAUCUAAGCGGGAAGCCGGCCUCAAGAUUAGGCAUCCCGGGCCGCAAGGCCCCUGAAGACCCCUCGAAGACUACGAGGUGAUAGGCAGGGUGUGGAAGCGCAGCAAUGCGUGAAGCUAACCUGUACUAAUCGGUCGUGAGGCUUGACCUA